UACGAAGGGGGCUAGCGUUGCUCGGAAUUACUGGGCGUAAAGGGCGCGUAGGCGGAUAGUUUAGUCAGAGGUGAGAGCCCAGGGCUCAACCUUGGAACUGCCUUUGAUACUGGCUAUCUUGAGUUCGGGAGAGGUGAGUGGAAUGCCGAGUGUAGAGGUGAAAUUCGUAGAUAUUCGGCGGAACACCAGUGGCGAAGGCGACUCACUGGCCCGAUACUGACGCUGAGGCGCGAAAGCGUGGGGAGCAAACAGG
rnacentral:rRNA from 1 species